rnacentral:rRNA from 1 species
UACGAAGGGGGCUAGCGUUGCUCGGAAUCACUGGGCGUAAAGCGCACGUAGGCGGACUCUUAAGUCAGGGGUGAAAUCCUGGAGCUCAACUCCAGAACUGCCUUUGAUACUGAGAGCCUUGAGUCCGGAAGAGGUGAGUGGAACUGCGAGUGUAGAGGUGAAAUUCGUAGAUAUUCGCAAGAACACCAGUGGCGAAGGCGGCUCACUGGUCCGGUACUGACGCUGAGGUGCGAAAGCGUGGGGAGCAAACAGG